rnacentral:lncRNA from 1 species
CGGUUGCACUUCCAGCUGAAGGGAAAAACGUAGAUCUCCUUCCCCUCUACGCAAGGACCUCGAUUUCCAAAAAGAAAAAAGUAAAUAUCCAUCCCUAUCUAGUCUUUUGAUGACAUUAGGCUAUACAAAGGGUGGAUAUAGUCUAGAGGGGUCGGAUAAGGGUUGUAGAGGCGGUUAAAAGAGGAAGAAUCGGAUUUUGACAAAUUUUUCCGGCACUACGGAAAAUCUAUGUCGAAGUCCCAACUUCGGCGAAUUAUUUAGGGGGUCAAACGACCUCCGA